GUUGUUUAUUUUUCUGUUAACAAAGGCAAAAGAGUCCUUUGUGAACGAUCUGCUUGGAAUUUAAGUGUACAGUAUUGCUGACAGAGCGCUGAAAACUCGUCGUGCAGUGUACUUCUUCCUCCAAGGCUGGCAGUCUGGGAACUCGCCAGCUUUCUUUCUUUUUCCAGUUAUUCCGACCCUGUGUGGAGAUCUCAAUGCCCCAGCCCACCUCCUUCUGUCCUAUUGCUACCACCCAGGCACUUGCUCCCAGGACUUCUAAACUGUGGGUUUGUUUGGAAGGCUCCUUUCCAAAACAAAGAUUAAAACGCCUGCUCUCUUUAAUAGCUUCACAGAACACUGUUGCUUGUUAAUGUUCAGACACCGACCGCACUGGGAAGAGUCAUUGCUCGUGUCAACUCAUCAAGUAGUCUAAACAAGCCUGUUGGAGGCUGGCCAGCUCCGGACAGUCAUUGACCACAGAUGCGAUCUGGAAGCCCAUUACAACUUGUGGAAGCGAAAGGGAAAGCGGACCGUGCUUCCAGCCAGUCGCAGGCUUAUGAAGCCGGUCUAUCCAGUACAUAGUUUUUGUUUAAAGCCGUCAGCACAAAUUCCUACUUCAGGAUGGGACGAAAACAGCAUUGAGAUCACCAACAGGAUGCUGCUGCGUUGUUUGACCCCAAGCUGUGUAUUGCACUCUUUCCCAGAAGUUCUACAAGGAUGAGGACUUCAGGAAACUCCUUCCUUUCCUUCCAUUCAGAGGUUCAAUCCAUUGUCAUCAUGGUAGGGAGCAUGGUGGCAUGCAGGCAGACAUGGUGCUGGAGAAGUAACUAAGAGCUCUACAUCUGGAUCCACAGGAAGCAGGAAGACACGGUGAGCCAGUGGGCCUGACUUGGACUUUUGAAACCUCAAAGUGCACCCUCAGUGACACACUUCUGCCAACAAGACCACACCUCCUAAUCCUUACCAAGUUGUAUCCACUCCCUGAUGACAAAGCAUUCAAACAUACCAGUCUAUGGAGCCAUCCUUUUUUUUUUUUUUAAAUGGGGGCCAUUCUUCUAUUCUUAUUCAGAGCACCACAAAAUUUGUUUUGGAAAAGAAGACAUUUGAGAAAGGGGCUGAAGGAUGUAACAGAGUGAAUCCUGUGUACGUAGAGGGAAAGCAUUUCAGAAAGUACAAACACAUGUGUCAUUCCAAGGGAGGGGCAUGCUGUCUACGGAGGGCCAUGGAGGACGUCAGUGUGCUUCUCAUCUUUCUAUGGCUGUGACAAAUAUACCUGAAAGAGACAACCGAAAAGAAGGAAUCUUUCAUUCUGACUCAUUUCCCCCCCAAACGUUUCAGUCAGUGGUUUGUUAACCCUGUUGCUUUUGAACCCAUGAUCUUGGUAUGUCACAGUGGAAGCCCAGGCCGUGGGAUGCUUGGCCAUCUCAUGGUGAUACAUAAACAAAAAGAGAAGUUUGUGCAACUCCUGAAACCUAGGCUGCAUCCACUAACCUUCACCUUUUAAAAGCUCUACAGGGUCCUGAUGGUGCCACAGGAGGGGACUGAUCACUGAAGCAUGAACUUUGGAGGACUCUAGGUCUAAACUAUAGUGACCAUCAUGGCCAGAGACCAAUGUGGUAAUCUGGAAAGAAACGAGGGAGACAGAUCAGAGAAACCAAACCGUCACUGAGAAUGUUUGGCUGUAGGUGAAAGCAUGGCUGAGUAACGUUGAUAAUGUAGAUUCCGUGCCCGAUCUUAACCCUAGGCACCCUUUGAUGUUGUAAAUGAGCAAAGCCGCAGGAAACAGCUGUUUGGUCCCUUGAAUGACAACUGGCAGAUACUUCCCUCAUGCCCAGCUGCCUUGAGCAUGGAGCAUGCAGCUCCUUCCUUCACUACCUUAUUUGUUCAUUCCAUGAUUGCUCUGAGGAAGCACCACUCUAGCUAGGAAACCCACUCCAACUGCAGCUGCUGUGGAAGUUGUGACUCCAGAGUGAGAGGUCCUAUUUUAGGCAUGACUGCUUCGGGAACCUUGCAUCUGCUUUGGAAGAGUCCACCACAGGUAAAAAGCAGCCACAGAGAACUCUGGAUGACCCUACACUUUCUCAUGCAGGGAAGGAAUGGGAAUGCCUUGCCCUCUGGCUUAUCUAAGUACCCCCACCCCCUCAUCGGUAGAAAUGGAAGCCAUGUAUGUUCAGGACUGUGGCUGGUGAAACGGCAACCUUAACUAUGCACUUCUAGUCCUCUUCUAGCUACAUAAAUAGGCCAUUUCUCCAAAAGGCUUCUCUCCUGUGUUGCAACAUCAGACCACACUUAAGUUUCCUUCCAAAUGGUAUUUCCAUGCUUGGGGUCUUACUGGUAGGGCUGGCUGAGCUCCUUACACAAAGAAUAGACCAAACUUCUCCGGGACCUGGAAUGAGCCAGUGGGGAAGCUGCAGUACAGCUCCAGAGUCCCAGAGCUCCUUAAUGCCCAAGACUCAGAGCUGAAAAAUCAAAGAUCUACUGAGAGGUAAAGGCCUGGUGCCUGCAUCCCUGAGCCACAACACCGAGAGAGGAAGGUUCAAGAGCUCCAGAGGGUGGUCAAGGACAGAAUGUGCAGGAUGCAACCACAAUGGACAGUCCAAAUGUGGUGGGAGGCUGAGAUACUGGUUGGUAAGCAAUAAAGGAGGAAGCAGAUUGUGAGGGAUGCAAACCCUAAUGGUAAGAGUUCAAGGGAGCUGUUAACUGUUAAUUCACCAAGGCUCCCAACACCUGAGGCUCAGAGUCCCUCCAGCCAGUGAGUGUUAGGACUCUGGGAUCUAGAGCAGUAAGCUUCUAGCUUCAAAAGCCUGACGCCUGUGAUGGUCAACCCUGCCUGUUUGACAAGAGGUGAAUCACCUAGGAGACAAACUACUGGACAGUCCUGUUCAGGUCUAUGUAGAUAGGCCAAUCAAUGUGGACCAUCCACCUUCACUGUGAGCAGCUCUAUUCCAAUAAGCAAGGCUAUCCCACAUUCCUAGUGGAAGCAAUGACCUGGCUAUGGCAGGACAGAGUAUGAGAUUGCAUGGCUUCUAAUAUGAGAAAAGAGCAUGGCAAUCAAAAAAGUUUUUGUUGUUGUCUUUUUAAGUAGUUUAACAAUGUGGAUUUCUUUGAGAUGGCAAGUUGGGGUAAUGGCUACAUUAGGACACGAUGGGAAAGUUCCCUUUUCGACAUAUUUUUUUAUUGCAUUCAUUUUAUUUUUACUGAGUCAUAUACCCCAUACAGGCUAUAGUGAGCUGUUUGUUGAGAAAAUAAAUAAAUAACAACCCUCCCUUCCUCCUGGUCCCUAUUGCCAAAUGGAAAAAGAAAUUGGGUGUGCUGUUGGAAGUCUUCGGACUGAUUUUUAAAAAGAUCAACAGUUUAAUUUCAAAGCCUCCACAAUUACAGUUUUGUGAACAUCGGCUACAUGCUUCCUUUUUAACUUUAGUGUCAAUUUAUGGUAAUAAGUGAAAUAUCUGUGUUGUAUGUGCCGCUGUGUGGAGGCUGAGGGGCUAUGUCCAGUGUCUUUCUCUUCACUUUAUUCUCUGAGAUAGGGUCUCUCACUGAGAACGGAGCUCCAUCAUUUUAGAUAGAGUGGGUGGCCAGCAAUCCCAGAAAUCUUCCUGUCACUGUUCCCUGAAGCUCUGGAGUUAUAGGCCAAGCUACACACUUCAAACAUCUUAUCCACUGAGCCAGUCCACCUCCCCCAUCAAUAUUUGC